rnacentral:lncRNA from 1 species
GGCAGCGGGACAGUUUUGCUUGGAACUCUGGGGCAGCCACGUGGCCAUACGUUCAACACUCUCAGAUGCUGUACCUGGAGCCAGCCAGAAAGUGACUUACAGCUGAAAACAGGAUUUGAAUGGCUGCUGCUCUGGAGAGGCCCCUCAGUAUAAACAUAGAGUUUCUGGGAAGCAUACAGAAGGCCAGACUGUCGGGAAAGG